rnacentral:rRNA from 1 species
GUAGUCCACGCCCUAAACGAUGUCAACUAGUUGUCGGGGAUUAAUUUUCUUGGUAACGCAGCUAACGCGUGAAGUUGACCGCCUGGGGAGUACGGUCGCAAGAUUAAAACUCAAAGGAAUUGACGGGGACCCGCACAAGCGGUGGAUGAUGUGGAUUAAUUCGAUGCAACGCGAAAAACCUUACCUACCCUUGACAUGCCACUAACGAAGCAGAGAUGCAUUAGGUGCCCGAAAGGGAAAGUGGACACAGGUGCUGCAUGGCUGUCGUCAGCUCGUGUCGUGAAAUGUUGGGUUAAGUCCCGCAACGAGCGCAACCCUCGCCUCUAGUUGCCAUCAUUCAGUUGGGCACUCUAGAGGGACUGCCGGUGAUAAGCCGAGAGGAAGGUGGGGAUGACGUCAAGUCCUCAUGGCCCUUACGGGCUGGGCUACACACGUGCUACAAUGGCGGUGACAAUGGGCAGCGAGACAGCGAUGUCGAGCUAAUCUCCAAAAGCCGUCUCAGUUCGGAUUGCACUCUGCAACUCGAGUGCAUGAAGUUGGAAUCGCUAGUAAUCGUGGAUCAGAAUGCCACGGUGAAUA